AGAGCCAUCAGUAGUAGUGCUUAAAGGAAAAGACAAUCUAGUUUGUUUUGCCAAUAGACACACAACAAAAUUUUUUUGCUCUACCAUCACAAAUAGAAAGGUUGAAAACCACUUAUUUUCUGAAAAGUACCUACUAGUACAUGACCUAGCUUUUUAUGCCACAAAACACCAUCAUCAUACUUCUUCUUCUUACUGACUAAAGUAGAACCAGUAUAAGUUGUAGUAGCUCUUCUAAUACUUUCAACUACAUAUUGAAGUUCAUGCUUGUCUUUUGAAUUGAUCACAUAUAAACCAUCAUCUUCUCUACCAAUCUCCUUCACCUGACCACUUAAAAAGAUAGAAAUCAGGAUAAAAUAACAUAGCCUAAUUAAGUUUCUUUGUCAACUUGGAAAUAGAUAAAUGGUUGUAUGUAAAGUCAGAAAGAUGCAUGACAUUAGAUAUUCUUUGACCUCCAAAAAUAUAAGUUGAACCUAUAUGUUACACAUAAGCAACUUCACCAGUAGGGAAGUAUACCUUGCUCUUUUUAAUACUAUCAAAACUUCUAAGAUCUGUCAACAAGUUGAGAGUAUUGUUCAUAUGACUUGAUCCUCCAGAAUCAACAAUCUACAUAUGACUAGUUCAGAAGCCCCACAAGCUACAUCAUAUGAUGAUAUACCUGUUGUCAUGUUUGAAUCAGUUGUAUCAUCUCUCUUUCCAAGUAAGUUCAGCAGUUGAUUGUAUUGUUCUUGUAUGAACUGAGGGAUGCCAGGGGUUGAUCCAUAGGAAUUUUAGUUCAUUUGUUCAACACUUGCUUGUCUACCUCCUACAACACUAGCGGUAUCUUGUGAAAAUAAGUUGUAGGACUAGAAGAACUAUUUGAAACAAACCUCUUUUUUUAUUUUGAAUCAUUAGGAUAUCCUAUCAACUUGUAGCAAUUGUUCUUGAAGUACCUUUUAAAUAACAGUAGUCACAAAAGAGAUUCUUCUUCUUAAAUCUAUGAUUCGAUCCAGAACUUGUAGUUGAUGUGUGUGACUAACAGGAUUAGAAAUUGAAAUGUGAGAAUUGUUAUAGGAACUAGAACUAAGAAAAUUACUACUAGUAGUAUGAAAACUACCACCAAAGCCUCUGGUAGAUUUCCCUCUAUAUGAAUGAGAACAUCCAGUCCGAUGCUAAAGCUAGAACCACUAUGCUGAGUGGUCAAACUAGAAUCUCCAGAAGUGGUGUAGGUAGAUUUAAGCACCCCUUUUUCCUUAUUAUUAUUUAGCAAAGUAGUUCUUUUAUUCAAUUUUGUAACAUGAGACAAAGACAUACUUCUCCUACUCUCUUUUGAAAUAAUCAUGGAAUAAACUUUGUUAAUAGAAGGUAUAUGGAUCAUGUUCAAAAUUUGGUUAUUCAAUUGGUAAUAGAACUCAUUGGGGCCCAUUAGAAAUUACAGUAAUUUAGUACUCAAAAUUUACAACAUAUUUCCUGGAUUCUUCACAACUACAACCAAGGCAGGGCAUGAGCGCAUCAAAUUCAGCCCAAACUUCUUCAAUUUUGAAAAGUAAGCGGAUACAGAGGAAAUUCCCUGAGAGGGUGUAGUUAUCUCUUUGUGCAGGAAUAAAAAUCUUGAUCCAUUCACCUAGUCAAAUCUUUCCUGAAGAUUUAUCCAAACCUUAUGUGCACUGGAUGCAUAGACCAUACCACUCAAUAAUUCAGCUCUCGUCGAAUCUAAAGCGGUGGAUUGCUAAUUUGUUGUCCAUAAUAAAACUACAACAUUGAAUUUCUCCCAAAGUUCAUAUAAAUAAAAGUGAGAUUUCUCCUUAGGGUAUCUACCAUAAACAAAGCCCAAUUUGCUUUUUCCAAACAAACUUAUAUGCAUAGUGCUACUCUACUAUUACACGUCCUCAUACCCCUGUGUGGCAGUGUGUUAUCAUCGUUCUAACACCGGAAGCAUUUUCUCAAUUGUACUUUACAACAUUGGUUGCAUGCCAAAAUUUGUGAAAAUAAUUACCCAACAAACCGAUAGUGAUGGCCUGAUUCAAGUUCAUGAGGAUGUGGAAGAGGAUAUGGCCAUUGAUGAGGUAUAUUAUAAGGAUGUAACUAUUGAUGAGGUAAGUGCAAAAUAGACCAUAUUACUAAUGGAUGGACUAUUGGCCAAAAUAGAUGAUUUAAAAAUUAAUGAAAAUAUUGAUGACACAUCUAUAAUCAUGAAAUGAUUUAUCGAAGUUAAGCAUGCAAUCAAUCUUUUUUAAAACUCAGUACAGGGUACUAAGAUAGAUUCACGAAUGAUGAUGAAUGUGGUUAUCUAGGAUAAGAAAAAAAUGAACCUGUUAAUGGGUGGAUUUAUAGGAUUAAGGCAUCUACUAGAAUCGAUGGAAGCGUAGAAUGCUCAGCUGGUAGCUGGGUAGGUAAUGAACAGAAGACUGAUGUUGAGGAACUGCAGGACUCUUUAAAAGACUUGAAAACAUUGGUUAUUUAAUUGGACACAAUGGUUAACGCUUUAGGUAAGUUUCUAAUCACUAUAGAGGACAAUGAGGUGACUGUCAAAGAAGACAUCAGGGAGGGGACUGGCGAACUACAAGAGGCUAAUGAACUGAUGCUAUUUUAGAAGAAAAAUAUUAGGGAGGACAUUGAUAAAAUGGGGUUGCCAAUUUAUUAAGGCAGUGAUUAGUGUCACUGGUAUUGAAGUGGUUUGGCUCCUUUGUAGAAAAUAAAGGUGAAAUAGAUACUUUGUGCUUCACGAUAAGUGACAAAGUGUUGUAAACCACACAUUGGUACCUUAAUUUCUUCUUUCAUCAUCUAUAUUUUGUGUAAGGUACAGUAAACCAUACAUCGGUAUCUUUAUUCCUCUUUCAUUAUCUAUAUUUUUUGUAAGGUGUUGUAAACCAUAGAUUGGUACCUUGCUUGCUUACUUUCAGGAUCUAUAUAUUAUGUAAAAUGCAUACCUUACAUUACAA
rnacentral:lncRNA from 1 species